CUCUGAUGCAGUGGUUCUCAACCUUUCUAAUGCCGUGACCCCACAAUACAGUUCCUCAUGUUGCAGUGACCCCAAACUAAAGAAUUAUUUUGGUGGCUACUUCAAAACUGUAAUUUUGAUACAGUUAUGAUUCGGAAUGUAAAUACCUGAUUUGCAUUAUGUAUUCUCAUCGCUACAAAUUGAGAGGUUGAGAACCGCUGCUCUGAUGAGUCUCAGGGGGAUCUGAGUUUUCUGUGCCGCAUCAAUGACAAGGCUAAUAGCUGAUGCUGUAGACACUGAUCUACUAUAGUUUUAAAAAAAUUAUUCAUGAAAAAUCUCUGAAAAAAACCCCAUCCUUGCUGACUCUUCCUAGGAAUGAAUGGGGAGUGCAGCUGAAUUUCCAGGCUUUCAAUCUAAUGGCUACUGGAGGAUUCAUGGAUGGAAUGAAAGAAGGCUCACAGCCUUUUGUUUUCCAGUCUAAAAAAUUCCAAGUUCCUCCAACUGAUUUUCAUAAGGCAUAGAAUCAAGUCCCUUCUCCAUCUUGAUCGUCGUACUCAAAAAAUAAAGAAAAUAAAAAUAGCA
rnacentral:lncRNA from 1 species